GUGUCAGCUGGACACAGAAGUUGGUAAAAACCUACCGGGGAGCACUUGCAGAUCCUGGAUGCAGGACCAUGAGCACUCACUUCAUUUUGCUGGGCCCUGGUUUCUACAGAGGACAGAAGAUCAACAAGGAUUCUUUCUGGCCAGGUGCUAGUGGCUCACAUCUGUAAUCCUAGUCGCUCAGGAGGCUGAGAUCUGAGGCUCACAAUUCAAAGCCAGCCCAGGCAGGAAAGUCCAUGAG